rnacentral:rRNA from 1 species
GAAAAUUUUCAACGGUGGAUAUCUUGGUUCCCAUAUCGAUGAAGAACGCAGCAAAAUGCGAUACGCAAUGCGAAUUGCAGAAUUCCGCGAGUCAUCAGAUCUUUGAACGCAAUUGGCGCUGGUUUAACCGCCAGCAUGUCUGCUUCAGUGU